UAAUUUUUACAAUCAUGAAAUUCAAAAGUAACUAAAAGUAAAUCAAAAACAACAAGAUAGCCUAAAACUGAAAAGAAAGCAGACAAAUGAAAACUACCAAACCAAAAUAAAAAAGGUACAGUCUUACUAAAUACAGAUAAAGGCCUCUUUUUUACACAUAUUAAUAGAAAGAGCAUCAAAAUUGUUACGAUAACAGAGCAGCUCCAAAGAUGAGCUGCUCUGUUAUGAAAAGUACGCUCACCACAGUUUGAAUUUGCAUGUGGAACAACUAGAGUAUUUGAUAUUUGAUUCCCAGUAGGGUAAGAAUGAACAGAGAUGGUGAAGGUGAAUUUGGAAGACAGAUAUUCAGGGACAUUACCAUUUAAACAUUUAAACACAAUAAGACCGUUAUUUGAAUGUACCAGUAAACUGAUUGGCGUACCUGAUAGCAACAUACAGCAUCAGUAAGAUGGAUUUAGUUGGAACACUUUUAAAAAAUCCUCUGCCACAAUUCCGGACUGUUGCCUGUAAUGCCGAGGAAAGCAUGUGCUAUAUUUAGCAACAUGCAUAUGGACUGCUACACAGCAGCCUUUUUUGGAUUAAUCCAUUUUCCAUAGGGGGGUGCACAGGCAUUACUAUCAGUUUCAACUAAUUACUAUCAGGGAGUGCUCAUAUUACUCGUUAAUUAUUACUCUAGAUUGUACGUGCCUGUAAGCUUUCGUGUAUCAACAUUAUGUAUCCCAGAUAUGUUUACAUAAUUUAAAUAUUUUAAUUUGUAAACCUUAGUGUUAUGGUAUUUAUUAAUAUUGAUAAAUUAUAUAUUCAGGUAAUAUAUUUAUAUAUCACUUGCAGAGGAAUGAAGAAGAGUAAUGUGUGCUCAAAGGAAUUGUCAAUUAAACUAGUCUUGUAGUAAAUCA